rnacentral:rRNA from 1 species
UACGAAGGGGGCUAGCGUUGUUCGGAAUCACUGGGCGUAAAGCGCACGUAGGCGGAUCGGUCAGUUAGGGGUGAAAUCCCAGGGCUCAACCCUGGAACUGCCUUUAAUACUGCUGAUCUCGAGUCCGGAAGAGGUGAGUGGAAUUCCGAGUGUAGAGGUGAAAAUUCGUAGAUAUUCGGAGGAACACCAGUGGCGAAGGCGGCUCACUGGUCCGGUACUGACGCUGAGGUGCGAAAGCGUGGGGAG